GGGUAGCAUACCGCUGACGACCGGCGCACGGGUGAGUAACACGUAUCCAACCUACCCUUUACUCGGGGAUAGCCUUUCGAAAGAAAGAUUAAUACCCGCUAGUAUAAAGAGUUCGCAUGUUCUCUUUAUUAAAGGAUUCCGGUAAUCGAUGGGGAUGCGUUCCAUUAGAUAGUUGGUGAGGUAACGGCUCACCAAGUCUUCGAUGGAUAGGGGUUCUGAGAGGAAGGUCCCCCACAUUGGAACUGAGACACGGUCCAAACUCCUACGGGAGGCAGCAGUGAGGAAUAUUGGUCAAUGGGCGCUAGCCUGAACCAGCCAAGUAGCGUGAAGGAUGACUGCCCUAUGUGUUGUAAACUUCUUUUAUAAGGGAAUAAAAUGGGGAACGUGUUCCCCUUUGCAUGUACCUUACGAAUAAGGAUCGGCUAACUCCGUGCCAGCAGCCGUGGUAAUACGGAGGAUCCAAGCGUUAUCCGGAUUUAUUGGGUUUAAAGGGUGCGUAGGCGGAAUGAUCAGUCAGUUGUGAAAGUUUAAGGCUCAACCUUAAAAUUGCAAUUGAUACUGUCAUUCUUGAGUGUACAAGAGGUGGGCGGAAUUCGUGGUGUAGCGGUGAAAUGCUUAGAUAUCACGAAGAACUCCGAUUG
rnacentral:rRNA from 1 species